AUUAGGAUAGCUAGUUCGGCACAUGCAAGAGACUUAAAAUCUCGCCACGAAGGUUCAAAUCCUUCUCCUAACC
rnacentral:tRNA from 1 species